UGGGGAAUAUUGGACAAUGGGCGCGAGCCUGAUCCAGCCAUGCCGCGUGAGUGAUGAAGGCCCUAGGGUUGUAAAGCUCUUUCACCGGUGAAGAUAAUGACGGUAACCGGAGAAGAAGCCCCGGCUAACUUCGUGCCAGCAGCCGCGGUAAUACGAAGGGGGCUAGCGUUGUUCGGAUUUACUGGGCGUAAAGCGCACGUAGGCGGACUAUUAAGUCAGGGGUGAAAUCCCGGGGCUCAACCCCGGAACUGCCUUUGAUACUGGUAGUCUUGAGUUCGAGAGAGGUGAGUGGAAUUCCGAGUGUAGAAGUGAAAUUCGUAGAUAUUCGGAGGAACACCAGUGGCGAAGGCGGCUCACUGGCUCGAUACUGACGCUGAGGUGCGAAAGCGUGGGGAGCAAACAGG
rnacentral:rRNA from 1 species